CUAGACCCUAGAGUCCAGCCUCUUUAUGAUCAAGGGAGAAGGUGAAUAUACCAUCAUUGAAAUCUUUCAUGACCAUAGAAGGAGUAGGAGUAGAUACAACCAUCGUCCAAUGGGGAUUGAGGAGACACACAUGAAACAAUCAGGCCAACAGGGAAGCCUCUUGGCACCUUCAAUUCGGGAACGUUUGCUGUGAAUUCCCCUUAUUUCAUAGCAAAAAAUAUCACUUUUCAAAACGCAACACCUCUUCCACCACCAGGGGCUGUCCUUUAUAUUUAGGGCAUAAAAAGAAGCAUUGGUCCCUAG